rnacentral:rRNA from 1 species
GAUGAACGCUGGCGGCGUGCCUAAUACAUGCAAGUCGAGCGAACAGACGAGGAGCUUGCUCCUCUGACGUUAGCGGCGGACGGGUGAGUAACACGUGGAUAACCUACCUAUAAGACUGUGAUAACUUCGGGAAACCGGAGCUAAUACCGGAUAAUAUAUUGAACCGCAUGGUUCAAUAGUGAAAGACGGUUUUGCUGUCACUUAUAGAUGGAUCCGCGCCGCAUUAGCUAGUUGGUAAGGUAACGGCUUACCAAGGCAACGAUGCGUAGCCGACCUGAGAGAGUGAUCGGCCACACUGGAACUGAGACACGGUCCAGACGCCUACGGGAGGCAGCAGUAGGGAAUCUUCCGCAAUGGGCGAAAGCUUGACGGAGCAACGCCGCGUGAGUGAUGAAGGUCUUCGGAUCGUAAAACUCUGUUAUUAGGGAAGAACAAAUGUGUAAGUAACUAUGCACGUCUUGACGGUACCUAAUCAGAAAGCCACGGCUAACUACGUG